rnacentral:rRNA from 1 species
GAUGAACGCUGGCGGCGUGCCUAAUACAUGCAAGUCGAGCGAACAGAAGAGGAGCUUGCCCCUCUGACGUUAGCCGCGCACGUGUGAGUAACACGUGGAUACCCUACCUAUAAGACGGGGAUAACUUCGGGAAACCGGAUCUAAUACCGGAUGAUAUAUGGAAGCGCAGGGUUCAAUAGGAAAGGACGGUUGUGCGGGCACUGAUAGGUGGAUCCUCGCCGCAUUAGCUAGUUGGUAAGGUAACGGGCUACCAAGGCAACGAUGGGUAGCCGAGCUGAGAGGGGGAUCGGCGACACGGGAACUGGGACACGGUCCAGACUCCUACGAGAGGCAGCAGUAGCGAAUGUUACGCAGUGGGCGAGAGCUUGGCGGAGCAACGGCGCGUGAGUGAUGACGGUCUUCGGAUCGUAAAACUCUCUUAUUAGGGAAAAACCACUGUGUACGUAAAUAUACACGUCUUGACGGUACCUAAUCAGAAAGCCCCGGCUAACUACGUG